AAGGGCAGGCAAAACGUGUCCUAGGAGUAUCCAAGGCCAACCCAGAAGGCAGGGAAGAUCUCCCCCAACCCCGUCACUUGGACAUCACCAGAAUCACUUCCCUGGAAAAUGGAGCGGAAAGAGAAUGGGAAAGAAGGACAGAUGGACAGACAGAAGGAGCAGAGACAGAGGGGGGGCUCAUGUCUCGCCAUUGUUCCUUCCCAGAAGGGGCGGCUAGGGGUUGGACAGGCACAGUGCACCUUGCCUGGGCCACUUCUCAGUCUCCACGUCCCCUGAGAGCUGCCCUCCCCAGAAUUUGGAACUGUCCCAACAGGAACUUCCCAAAGGUGGGGGCAUAAGUCUCUAUUCAAUAAAGUAGACAGCUAUGGACUCUCGGAGGUCAGACGUGAAGCGAAGCCGGUCUUGGAGGCUGGGCGCAUUGAAAAUAAUGAGCACCUUCCGCUCCCC